rnacentral:rRNA from 1 species
CCCUAAAUACUCUCUAGUGACCGAUAGUGAACCAGUACCGUGAGGGAAAGGUGAAAAGCACCCCGGGAGGGGAGUGAAAUAGAACCUGAAACCGUGUGCCUACAACAAGUUCGAGCCCGUUAAUGGGUGAGAGCGUGCCUUUUGUAGAAUGAACCGGCGAGUUACGAUAUGAUGCGAGGUUAAGUUGAAGAGACGGAGCCGUAGGGAAACCGAGUCUUAAUAGGGCGAUUUAGUAUCAUGUUGUAGACCCGAAACCAUGUGACCUACCCAUGAGCAGGUUGAAGGUGAGGUAAAACUCACUGGAGGACCGAACCAGGGCACGUUGAAAAGUGCUUGGAUGACUUGUGGGUAGCGGAGAAAUUCCAAACGAACUUGGAGAUAGCUGGUUCUCUCCGAAAUAGCUUUAGGGCUAGCGUCGAUGUUAAGUCUCUUGGAGGUAGAGCACUGUUUGGGUGAGGGGUCCAUCUCGGAUUACCAAUCUCAGAUAAACUCCGAAUGCCAACGAGAUAUCAUCGGCAGUCAGACUGCGAGUGCUAAGAUCCGUAGUCGAAAGGGAAACAGCCCAGACCACCAGCUAAGGUCCCAAAAUAACUGUUAAGUGGAAAAGGAUGUGGGGUUGCACAGACAACUAGGAUGUUAGCUUAGAAGCAGCUAUUCAUUCAAAGAGUGCGUAAUAGCUCACUAGUCGAGUGACCCUGCGCCGAAAAUGUACCGGGGCUAAAACAGUUUACCGAAGCUGUGGAUGACACAAAAGUGUCAUGGUAGGAGAGCGUUCUAUGUGUGAAGAAGGUGUACCGUGAGGAGCGCUGGAACGCAUAGAAGUGAGAAUGCCGGUAUGAGUAGCGAAAGACAGGUGAGAAUCCUGUCCACCGUAAGACUAAGGUUUCCAGGGGAAGGCUCGUCCGCCCUGGGUUAGUCGGGACCUAAGGAGAGACCGAAAGGUGUAUCCGAUGGCCAACAGGUUGAUAUUCCUGUACUAGAGUAUAUAGUGAUGGAGGGACGCAGUAGGCUAACUAACCGGACGAUUGGAAGAGUCCGGCUAAGCAGUGAGGUGUAAGAGGAGUCAAAUGCUUAUCUUUAUAACAUUGAGCCCGCCACCUAUGAGCCGGAAGAGAUUCGUCAAGCCAUUCAAUUAGUGCUUGUUAAGGCAAUCAAGGUAGAUGGCAUUGAAC